UGCCAGCAGCCGCGGUAAUACGUAGGGGGCAAGCGUUAUCCGGAAUCACUGGGCGUAAAGGGUGCGUAGGUGGCUUAGCAAGUCAGAGGUGAAAGGCAUUGGCUCAACCAAUGUAAGCCUUUGAAACUGUUAGGCUUGAGUGCAGGAGAGGUAAGUGGAAUUCCUAGUGUAGAGGUGAAAUUCGUAGAUAUUAGGAGGAACACCAGUGGCGAAGGCGACUUACUGGACUGUUACUGACACUGAGGCACGAAAGCGUGGGGAGCGAACAGGAUUAGAUA
rnacentral:rRNA from 1 species